rnacentral:rRNA from 1 species
CCUCAUGGCCCUUAUAGGUGGGGCUACACACGUCAUACAAAUGGCUGGUACAAAGGGGUUGCCAACCCGCGAGGGGGAGCCAAUCCCAUAAAGCCAGUCGUAGUCCGGAUCGUAGUCUGCAACUCGACUACGUGAAGUCGGAAUCGCUAGUAAUCGUGGAUCAGAAUGUCACGGUGAAUACGUUCCCGGGUCUU